AACAAGGUUUCGUAGGUGAACCUGCGGAAGGAUCAUUAACACGUAUCCAACGUUAAAACAACCCCGUGAACUUUCAGCUUGCUCCUGUACCCGUGAAAGCUACAGUUGAGCGAUUGCAUCUAGUGACUGAAGUGUCUGUGAUUGUGUAAGGCACGCGCUGUACAGUCUAGCGUGAAGUUCGCACGGCACCAAAAACCGAACAACUGUUAACAGUGGAUAUCUUGGUUCUC
rnacentral:misc_RNA from 1 species